rnacentral:rRNA from 1 species
UUGAACGCUGGUGGCAGGCUUAACACAUGCAAGUCGAACGGUAACAGGAAUUAGCUUGCUCAUUUGCUGACGAGUGGCGGACGGGUGAGUAAUGCUUGGGAAUCUGGCUUAUGGAGGGGGAUAACUACGGGAAACUGUAGCUAAUACCGCGUAAAAUCUUCGGAUUAAAGGGUGGGACUUUCGAGCCACCUGCCAUAAGAUGAGCCCAAGUGGGAUUAGGUAGUUGGUUAGGUAAAGGCUGACCAAGCCGACGAUCUCUAGCUGGUCCGAGAGGAUGACCAGCCACACUGGAACUGAGACACGGUCCAGACUCCUACGGGAGGCAGCAGUGGGGAAUAUUGCACAAUGGGGGGAACCCUGAUGCAGCCAUGCCGCGUGAAUGAAGAAGGCCUUCGGGUUGUAAAGUUCUUUCGGUGACGAGGAAGGUUGAUAGGUUAAUAGCCUAUCAAAUUGACGUUAAUCACAGAAGAAGCACCGGCUAACUCCGUG